CCGAGGGGCGGCAACACUCAUCCCGGCUAACUGGAAGGCUGGGUCGUGGUUUUCAUUCCAGGCUAGGGAUCCUGGGGAAUGCUGACUGAUGCCAUAACAGGGACAAGCUGACAGAUUUAUUUAGGUGGCAAACUGGAGACCAGAGUCACUGACCUCCCAGAGCAAGCAGCAGGUACGCUGGGCAGACGUGGGUUCUAGAGCAUCCGGCUGGAUUCUACUGUACCGCUAGUCAUCCUCCGGGCUACAGCGCAAGUGACAUAUCUCUAGAGAUUUCCUGCCUUUCCCUGGUCUCGUGAUGAUAACAGCAACUUCCUGAUUCCCUGGAGCACAAGGACAGAGCAAUCUCAAAGUUAAGUUCUCUUACUCAA